CUGACACUGAAGGGCAGGACUUUGACUAAAUUGGGUUGGUUUUGGAACAAUCUUCAGCCAUGAUCCAAUGCAUGAAGACAUUACCCAUUUUUGUUGCCUAUUUAUCUGUGUGCUCUGCAGAGGGGGACACUGUUACUCAACCUAAAGAUGAGACGGGUCUGGAGGGCAGCACAGUAACACUCAGCUGUCAGUAUGAGACCACAGCAGCAGCAGGUAAUCAGUAUCUCUUCUGGUACCAGCAGAAGCCAAAUGGAUUCCCCAGAUAUAUGCUACACAAAACUAAAUAUGGAGAUAGCUCUGAUGACCACUUUAUGGGAAGAUUCAAUGCUACACUCAACACUGAUGAAAAAACUGUUCCUCUGAAGAUUCAGGAUCUGCAAGUGUCUGACUCUGCUGUGUACUACUGUGCUCUGAGGCCCACAUCUCUGACAGACUGA